rnacentral:rRNA from 1 species
GAUGAACGUUGGCGGUGUGCCUAAUACAUGCAAGUCGAACGGAGUUAAUAGCAAUAUUGGCUCAGUGGCGAACGGGUGAGUAACGCGUUGGUGAUCUGCCUUGAAGUGUGGAAUAACGUUUCGAAAGGAACGCUAAUACCGCAUGUGCUCUCGAUUUUCAGAAAGUUGAGAGUAAAGGAUUUAUUCGCUUCAAGAGGAGCCUGCGUCCCAUCAGCUGGUUGGUAGGGUAACGGCCUACCAAGGCUAUGACGGGUAGGGGACCUGAGAGGGUGGCCCCCCACAAUGGAACUGAAACACGGUCCAUACACCUACGGGUGGCAGCAGUAGGGAAUAUUAGAAAUGGACGAAAGUCUGAUCUAGCAACACCGCGUGUGCGAAGAAGGCCUUCGGGUCGUAAAGCACUUUUUGGAAGGAAUAGGAAGGAAUGUACUUCCAGAAUAAGUCUCGGCUAACUACGUG